rnacentral:rRNA from 1 species
GAUCCUGGCUCAGGAUGAACGCUGGCGGCGUGCUUAACACAUGCAAGUCGAACGAAGCAAUUUUCUACGAUCCCUUCGGGGUGACGGAUUAUUGACUGAGUGGCGGACGGGUGAGUAACGCGUGGGUAACCUACCUUGUACAGGGGGACAACAGUUGGAAACGACUGCUAAUACCGCAUAAGCGCACGGUAUCGCAUGAUACAGUGUGAAAAGUUUUUUCGGUACAAGAUGGACCCGCGUCUGAUUAGCUAGUUGGUGAGGUAACGGCUCACCAAGGCGGCGAUCAGUAGCCGACCUGAGAGGGUGACCGGCCACAUUGGGACUGAGACACGGCCCAAACUCCUACGGGAGGCAGCAGUGGGGGAUAUUGCACAAUGGGGGAAACCCUGAUGCAGCGACGCCGCGUGAGUGAAGAAGUAUUUCGGUAUGUAAAGCUCUAUCAGCAGGGAAGAAAAUGACGGUACCUGACUAAGAAGCUCCGGCUAAAUACGUGCC